rnacentral:rRNA from 1 species
UACGGAGGGUGCAAGCGUUAUCCGGAUUCACUGGUUAAAGGGUGCGUAGGAGGGCAGGUAAGUCAGUGGUGAAAUCCCCGAGCUUAACUUGGGAACUGCCGUUGAUACUAUCUGUCUUGAAUACCGUGGAGGUGAGCGGAAUAUGUCAUGUAGCGGUGAAAUGCUUAGAUAUGACAUAGAACACCAAUUGCGAAGGCAGCUCGCUACACGAAUAUUGACUCUGAGGCACGGAAAGCGUGGGGAUCAAACAGGA